GACGAACGCUGGCGGCGUGCUUAACACAUGCAAGUCGAACGAAGUGGCGAACGGGUGAGUAACGCGUAAUCAACCUGCCCUUCAGAGGGGGACAACAGUUGGAAACGACUGCUAAUACCGCAUACUGAAGGCGGGGAUUGCGUCUGAUUAGCUAGUUGGAGGGGUAACGGCCAACCAAGGCGGUGAGCAGUAGCCGGUCUGAAGGGAUGAGCGGCAACAGUGUGACGGAGACACGGCCCAGACGCCUACGGGAGGAAGCAGUGGGGAAUCUUCCGCAAGGGAGGAAAGUCUGACGGAGCAACGCCGCGUGAGUGAUGACGGCCUUCGGGUUGGAAAGCUCUGUUAAUCGGGACGCGGUACCGGAAUAGAAAGCCACGGCUAACUACGUGCCAGCAGCCGCGGUAAUAC
rnacentral:rRNA from 1 species